GUUUGGUCAAAUACAAAAUUCCUAAGAUAGAACAUUUUAUAGAUGAUGUUGUGAAUAAACUAAACGAUUGUUUGUUUAAAAGCCAUUUUCGCAUGAAUAGAUCAUCAACAAACAAAUUAGUUGAAAAAUUUGGAAGUUCUUCGUUUUACCCCAAGAGUGUGGCAGGACAGAAAUCGGUCAGUUCAGAGAACCACAUACUGUCUUUCUUAUGGUUUGCUGGUAACAAAUGUUGUCUGCGUGAUGUCUCCCAAAGAUUUGGAGUUGGCAUAGCAUCACUGCAUCGACAAUGUGAUCGUGUGAUGGAGUUUCUAGUUAGCAUAGCCCCUCAAAUAAUUACAUUUCCUAUAGGAGACCUACAAAAGUUAAGCAUGGCUAAGGAAUUUGAGAAAGUGAGCUUACCAGUUUUCUUAAACUGUAAAAUAAUAAAUAUAGGAUCGUCCAGAACGAUUAUUGUUGUCUACUGCCAUUUUUUUUCUCCGAAGUACAGUUUUAUAUCUGCUUUCAACCUGUGUUGCACUGCGAUUUAUAUUAAAUUUCUUAGUUAAUAAACAACUCAAAAAAUUCCAUAGUGCCUUCUUAUUUUUAAAUUUUUUUUUAGGUCCAAUGUUAUUUAAAUUUAUUUGAUAUUGAUCUAACAGGUA